rnacentral:tRNA from 1 species
GGAGUUGUGGCUCAGUGGUAGAGUGCUUGCCUAGCAUGCAUGAGGCACUGGGUUCGAUCCCCAGCACCAUUU